rnacentral:rRNA from 1 species
GUGGGGAAUAUUGGACAAUGGGCGAAAGCCUGAUCCAGCCAUGCCGCGUGUGUGAAGAAGGUCUUCGGAUUGUAAAGCACUUUAAGUUGGGAGGAAGGGCAGUAAGUUAAUACCUUGCUGUUUUGACGUUACCGACAGAAUAAGCACCGGCUAACUUCGUGCCAGCAGCCGCGGUAAUACGAAGGGUGCAAGCGUUAAUCGGAAUUACUGGGCGUAAAGCGCGCGUAGGUGGUUCAGCAAGUUGGAGGUGAAAUCCCCGGGCUCAACCUGGGAACUGCCUCCAAAACUACUGAGCUAGAGGACGGUAGAGGGUAGUGGAAUUUCCUGUGUAGCGGUGAAAUGCGUAGAUAUAGGAAGGAACACCAGUGGCGAAGGCGACUACCUGGACUGAUACUGACACUGAGGUGCGAGAGCGUGGGGAGCAAACAGGAUUAGAUACCCGAGUAGUCC